UAAUCUUUCAUCAUGCAUGCUCUGGAAUAUGUAGAAAUGAAAAAUGUUAAUCUCUUGCUUGACCAAAAUUUAGGAGAAAUCCACCAGAGUAAAAAAACAAAAACAAAAAGCUGAAGAAUAUUAUUCCUUGAUAUUUAAAUAGUUUGAUAUAAAGCAGUUUUAUAUGUUGUUACAGUGCUGGAAUAUUGAGGAAAAAUGAACUAAUAACAGCUAAAAAAACUCUUGGAAGCACAGAAUACCAGAAACUGGUAAACAAGAAGCACAAAUUAGAUGAAAUGCUCGUUGAUGUAUGAUAUUGACAUACUAUAUUUGAUGGCAUAAAAGACGCACAAGCAUAUUAGACAUACCACAAUUUCAGCAGCACUCAGGAAAAAAAGUUUUUAGUGCAUUAAAGCAUGUAAUAUUUAAAGCAACUUUGCAUAUAGGACCCAGGGUGAUUUUUUUUUGAGACUUUAUUUUACAUAUAUAUAUAUAUAUCAAUAUGGUACUUCAGAAACCAAACAUGACUAUCACAACAGUGACUCUGAUAAAUAUAGUAAAAUAGGAUAAAUGAAUAUAAUGAGUUGUGAUACUGAUGUUAAUUGGACCUUAUUGGCUGCAUUAUUUUUACACAAAUAUUUUAAAUUUUCACCUGUAUGAAUUUUGUGUUCAUUGUAUUACCCUUUUUUCUCAUGAAGAACGUUAUUUUUAAAACUUUUUUUCUGACAUUUUAUCAUCUUCAUCCUACAGUAUGUCUUUAUAUGUCCUAUAUUACCACAACGAAAACUCUGCUUUUUUAGAUGGACAAUUUUUCUUCAGGUGCAUACCACCAUAUGCAAAACAUGGGUUUGUUGUAUUUUCAGUAAACACAUUAUCUCUAUUCAGACUAUUCCACUUUUGCAGGGUUAUAUCCUGCUUUUGCUCCAGCGUCCAUUUCAGCAGUUAGUCCCUGUAUAAAAAUCAGGCAUUUGAACAUCUGGAUUUAAUUUAUCCAGCUUAAACUUCUCAAAUUCUGUGUUUACUCUACCAUCAAAUGUGAUAAAGUCUUUCUUGUUUUUCUCUAUGUUCAGACACUUCCAGUGUGUGUUGAACAAUAAGCUUUUUAUCACGGAAAAUUUUACACAAUAUAUCAAUUGUGUCAUUAAAGUUUAUGUCCAAAAGUUUUUUUGGGAAGUACAAAAUUAUUGUAUCGUUCAUGUUCUGUUGGCACCAAUUUUCUCAGGAUUGAGCAAGUUUUCAUCUUGUUGUCCCAAUUUACAUUCUUUCUCAAAGAUUUGCUUAUAUCUUCUGUAGUAUGCUUCAGGUUCAUAUCUGAAUUCAGUAAUUGAAUUUGCAAUAUAGUCUGGCAAGAACAUUUUUCUGGCUUUCUUGAUGAUUUCAGUAAUUGCAGUAUUUGUUGCUGUAAUAUUGAUUGUUGUUGUUGCUCUUGCAGUUGUAUCUGCUGUUGUCAUUCUUUCAACUGUUGUUGUUGUGGUUUUUGCAGCUCAAACAAACCUGCCAACAAAUUAGAGUCUGGUGCAGCCUUCUUGCAUGCCACCCUGGUCAAACCAUCCAACCCAUGCCAGCAUGGACAACAGACGUUAAAUGGUGAUGAUAAUAUAUACAUGCAAAACAAAAGAAAGCAAAGAGUGGAGACUUUCAGAUGAUGAAUAUUUCAGUCUAUUGACUAUAUAUAUAGUCACAGAAAUAGCGUUCGUAAUACUUUAUCUCGUUCGGCUUAACAGCCCUUCUUGUCUUGUUAUUUUCCUUGUCCUGUCUUUUACUGCUUAUAUUUUGUACUGUCGUUACUGUCCUGUUUUUGUUACCAUUUUUACCCCUCUGCAAAAAGAU
rnacentral:lncRNA from 1 species